UUACCAAGGCGAUGAUGCAUAGCCCGAGUUGAGAGACUGAUCGGGCCACAUUGGGGACUGAGACACGGGACCCAAAACUCCUACGGGGAGGCAGCAGUAGGGAAUCUUCCACAAUGGACGAAAAGUCUGAUGGAGCAACGCCGCGUGAGUGAAGAAGGUUUUCGGAUCGUAAAAGCUCUGUUGUUGGUGAAGAAGGAUAGAGGUAGUAACUGGCCUUUAUUUGACGGUAAUCAACCAGAAAGUCACGGCUAACUACGUGCCAGCAGCCGCGGUAAU
rnacentral:rRNA from 1 species